UCCAAGAGAGUGUCGCUGUGCGUGACACAUGUAGACAGAAGUAAGGGUGGUGUUAGAUUACGUACCAAGAGAGCCCAGUUCCUCACUGCAUUUGGAAGGUCAGGAUUUUCUUACGGGAAAAGGGAGUCUGGAGUGAUAGGUUAGCGGAGGCCGCUGAGAUAUCAAACCAGCCAUCGAGAAGCAGGUCGGCAUGGGUGUGAUGCAGGAUCUCCCUGCUUGUCAGCUACCUGGGCCUUGGGCAUAGUCCUCACCUGUAAAUAUUUAAGGGAACGUGAGGAUCUAUGUCAUUGGAAUGGGCUUCACUCAGUUUUACCCUAAGACAAGGUCUCACUAUGUAGCCUUAGAUGGCCUGAAACUGCUGUGUAGACCAGGCUGGCUUCAAAAUCACAGCAAAUCACCAGUCUGCCGCCUCAGUGGGAUUAAAGAAGUGCUCACAACCAGCACCAACUUCGUUUUGCAGGAGCACAGUUCUGAGCUGCAGUGACCAAUAGACAUACCUUCUCUUGUCUGAGGCUGCAUUCAGUGGCAUCUGCUCAUCUUAAUUGGCGCUGAGAAGUACCAUCGAACUAGUCUACAAACUGACUAAAGUUAGAAAAAAGACGAAGCAUUGUCUGUAGCUGUACCUCUUUAACUGCUGAUACUCUUUUCCUGAGUUUAUUCCAAUAUAGCAGAUGAAGGAAGCAGAAUGGGACCCCUUGGUGUCUCACCUUACCUGAGCCUUAGUGGUCAUUGGACAGGGAGCUAAACUCACAUGCAGCUUUGCAGGCCUUAGUGUUAUAAGUAACACAUGCAGGAAAGUUCUAGAACUUGGUUUUUUUUUUUUUUUUUUUCCCAAACUGUAUCUCCAUGUAGCUGGACCAGAGCUCUCAUAGAUGCAAUGGAACUCAGGAGCAUUUGUCUUGAGAGUCAUAUUUUUUAAUACUCUUUAUUCCCACAUUAUAAGGCUUUUGGUCCAACUUAUUUUUAAAUGGAUUGCAGUUAAGAUCUUUGCUAACUAAGUGACAUCAUGCAUGUUCCCACAUCUCAUUAACGAAUUAUUACCUUAUACAUUAUAAAAAUUAUUCAUAAUAAUUUUUCUCAAACCAUUAAUUAUUCAGCUCUUCCCUCAGGCAUGAAAUGGGGUUUAUUUCAGGGCUUCUUAAAGGUAUUCUUUUGACAGAGUAUGUCAUAAAAGCUCAAAUGUAUUCAUUCCCUUUUCAAAUUGUGGAUUUAACCCACCACAAAACAUUCUGACUUCAUAAAGAAAGGGAACAUGUUAAAAGCAAGUGCUAUGAACAUAAUACUUCCUCUGGGCACACAUGCUAGCCAAAAUACCAAACUACCUUUUAAAAGAAACGCUUUCAGAGUGACUAGCUUGUCAUUCACCUGAGGGUUCAUGUAUAAAAACACCCCACCCCAGGUAAAGUAAAGGAUAACCAUGCUAUAAUCUACAGACCCAGAGGAGCUAAGGAACAAGGAGGGCCCAAGGUGGGGAUGCAAGGAUCUCCCCGGGAAGGGGAACUAGAAGAGAGCUCGUGGGUGGACUGGGGGAUGGAGGGGUCCGGUUGAGGUGGGUGGAGGGGAGAGUACUGAAGGAGAUGACUGGAAAGGGGAAGAAUUUCACGGUUAUGCAGAAACCUGACGCAAGGGAAACUCUCACAGAUCUACAAGACGAUGCCAGCUGAGACUCCUAAUAAUGGUGGAUACAGAGACCGAACUGGCCAUUUCCUGUGAUCAGAUUGUUGACUACCCCAGUUGCCACCAGACAGUCUUAACUGAUGACAACAGACGCAGAGACCCACAGCCAAACAUUAGCCCGAGCUAGGGGCAUCCUGCUGAAGAGAGGGAGGAAGGAGUGUAAAAGCCAGAGGGGUCAAGGACAUCACAAGAAAACCUCAGAAAGACCCAACCUGAUUCAUAGGAACUCACAGAGUUUGAAUCAACAACCAGGGAGCCUGCAUGGGACUGACCUGGGCCCUCUGUAUAUAGUGACAGUUGUGAAGCUUGGUCUACUUGUGGGAUACCUAUCAACGGGAGCAGAGGAUGUCCCCAACACUUAUACCCGGCUCUUGGGAACCUAUUCCUCAUACUGGAUUGCCUUGGCCAACCUUAAUAUGGGGGAGCAGGGGGUGGUGCUUAGUCUUACUACA